rnacentral:tRNA from 1 species
ACUGGGGUAGUCUAAUUAGACACCUGAUUUCGACUCAGGAGAACUUAACCGCUUAAGCCACAGUA